GAUGAACGCUGGCGGCGUGCUUAACACAUGCAAGUCGAACGGUGAAGCAGGAGCUUGCUCUCGUGGAUCAGUGGCGAACGGGUGAGUAACGCGUGAGCAACCUGCCCCUGACUCUGGGAUAAGCGCUGGAAACGGCGUCUAAUACUGGAUAUGUGAUGUGACCGCAUGGUCUGCAUCUGGAAAGAAUUUCGGUUGGGGAUGGGCUCGCGGCCUAUCAGCUUGUUGGUGAGGUAAUGGCUCACCAAGGCGUCGACGGGUAGCCGGCCUGAGAGGGUGACCGGCCACACUGGGACUGAGACACGGCCCAGACUCCUACGGGAGGCAGCAGUGGGGAAUAUUGCACAAUGGGCGGAAGCCUGAUGCAGCAACGCCGCGUGAGGGAUGACGGCCUUCGGGUUGUAAACCUCUUUUAGCAGGGAAGAAGCGAAAGUGACGGUACCUGCAGAAAAAGCACCGGCUAACUACGUGCCAGCAGCCGCGGUAA
rnacentral:rRNA from 1 species